rnacentral:rRNA from 1 species
CNUGCAGUCGAGCGGAUGAAGGGAGCNNUGCUCCUGGAUUUAGCGGCGGACGGGUGAGUAAUGCCUAGGAAUCUGCCUGGUAGUGGGGGAUAACGUUCCGAAAGGAACGCUAAUACCGCAUACGUCCUACGGGAGAAAGCGGGGGAUCUUCGGACCUCGCGCUAUCAGAUGAGCCUAGGUCGGAUUAGCUAGUUGGUGAGGUAAUGGCUCACCAAGGCGACGAUCCGUAACUGGUCUGAGAGGAUGAUCAGUCACACUGGAACUGAGACACGGUCCAGACUCCUACGGGAGGCAGCAGUGGGGAAUAUUGGACAAUGGGCGAAAGCCUGAUCCAGCCAUGCCGCGUGUGUGAAGAAGGUCUUCGGAUUGUAAAGCACUUUAAGUUGGGAGGAAGGGUAUUCACCUAAUACGUGAGUAUUUUGACGUUACCGACAGAAUAAGCACCGGCUAACUUCGUGCCAGCAGCCGCGGUAAUACGAAGGGUGCAAGCGUUAAUCGGAAUUACUGGGCGUAAAGCGCGCGUANGUGGUUCGUUAAGUUGGAUGUGAAAGCCCCGGGCUCAACCUGGGAACUGCAUCCAAAACUGGCGANCUANAGUACGGUAGAGGGGUGGUGGAAUUUCC